rnacentral:rRNA from 1 species
CCUGAGAAACCCAAAAGAUCGAAUGGGGAGAUUCAUCGUCAGCUUAUUUUGUAUAUAUAUGAGUUAUGAUAUAGGUUACUACUUGUAGUAUUGCCUCUACAUUCUUAUAUAUUUUAUUGCAAGAUAUUGUCGGCGUGCACUUCUUCCCUAGUAGAACGUCGCGACCCAUUGAGUGUCGGUCUACGGCCCAAGUGGUAGCCUUUAAUUUUUAAAAAAUUAAAAACCCUUGGUGUUUUCUGACUGGCUGCUCGGUGGUAUUCGUAAGGUAUUAAGCCGCAUAUUUAUAUGCGUUCAUAUCCGUCACAAGCGCGGUCAAUUUUUAGUAGUAUGGACUUUAGUGCCGUCGCUAUAAUUGGAUCAGCUGUUGGUUGUACGGUAUUCUAGAACUGGCUUUUAUAAAAUAUAUAAUACCGGUCAGCGAUGCUACUGCUUUGG